CCUAAAGAAACACAUAUUUGACAAGGCUUUCGUAGGAGCUGUAGGCCUUUCCAGGGGUAGUUUUAUGACCCAGCUGGUGGUUUGACCCUUCCUCUGUACCAUGAACCUAAAGAAACACAUAUUUGACAAGGCUUUCAUAGGAGCUGUAGGCCUUUCCAGGGGUAGUUUUAUGACCCUAGUGGUAGUCUGACCCUUCCUCUGUGCCAUGAAACUUAAAAAACACUCAUGAAAAGUAGAUUAAUCCCAUCCUUGACCUUAAGAAAUUAUUGAUGUUAGAAGCAAUGAUGUUUUAAAAUACAGCCCAGGGCCCCUCCCUAUAGUUCUCAUGGAGCCUGGCCAGAGCCCUUCCCUGUAGACCCAACCAGCCUCUUGCAGACUCCCUAUGUUCUUGGGGAGCCCGGCCUCUGUGGUACUGGUGCUGGGUCACGGUUGGGCUGCUCGGGGUCCGGUAAAAGCCAUUGGGGAGUGGGCACUGUACGGCUCUUCCUAAUCCCACUCCUUGUCACCUGGGGCGGGGCAGAGCACAGUGGCCUCUCCGACACGGGCACAGACAUACACACAGGGGGCAACGGUACAUCUCAGGGGGGUGAUUGACAGGGGGCUGAUAUGCACAUGGGUUUAAAAAGACGUACACACACACGCACACACAUACGCACACACUUCCAUCCUUUUUUUUUUGUUUUUUUUCUUCGUCAGUAUUAAAAGUCUUCCUCUCUCUCACAUUCUCUCCUCCUCCUCCUCUUCUUCCUCCUCCUCCUUCUUCCUUAUAAAAGACAGACAGGCAUACAGGGAGAAAUUUUUUAGGCCUAUGCUUUUUUUCAUAUAUAUAAGUAUCUACAGUAUGUCCCCUGCUAACACACACACACACACACACACACACACGCACUCAC